rnacentral:lncRNA from 1 species
CGGCCGCGUGAGGACGAGGCGAUUUGAAAACACGCUCAGGGAGCGAGCGAAAAGCCUGCGGCGGGCGGUACACGGCGUGGUCUUGCAGGACUUGGCGUUCGCUCGCUUUCCACCUGGUCUCCGUGUCCCGGGUCCGUCCGGGUUCUCUGGUUCCCCAAGUGUCUGUGUUUAAGCAAUCUUCCUGCCUCUGACUAAUACUGACACAGGCACAUGCCCUGUGCUCCCUUUAAAGUCAGCUCUUAACCUCUUGUGUAGGCCACUUCUACUUAAGGAGUUCUAAGCAUUCAAGAAUGACCAAAAAGAGGAAACGCCAAGAUGAUUUUCAGAAAGUAAAACUAAAAGUUGGUAAAAAGAAGCCCAAGUUAGAAAAUGCUACAGCUACAAACUUUAAGACAAAGGCUAUACAUUUGCCUGAACAACUUAAAGAGGACAGAACACUGCCGACCAACAACAGAAAGCUUAACAUAAAGGAUUUGCUGUCACAGAUGCAUCACUAUA